CCUGCCAUUUCCAGGCUUUGAAGUAUACAAACAAACAACCUUCAUUCGUGCCUCUUUUGUUGUGCGGAAAGACGAAAACGCGAUACACGGUUAAAACUAAUUCGUCAAUCUUUUCUCUCUUCGUUCUACAAAGCAGUACAAAAUGAACCGUUUAUUCGGAAAAUCGAAACCUAAAGAACCGGGCCCAAGCAUCAGUGAUUGUAUCAGCGGUGUUGAUGCACGGGCGGAGACAAUCGAAGGCAAAAUAAAGACGCUCGAUAACGAACUGCGGAAGUAUAAAGACCAAAUGGCCAAGAUGCGCGAAGGUCCGGCGAAGAACGCCGUCAAACAAAAGGCCAUGCGUGUGCUGAAGCAACGCAAACAGUACGAGAGCCAGGUGGAAAAUUUGCGGAACCAGUCAUUCAACAUGGAGCAGGCAAACUUUGCCCAUCAAACGCUGAAGGAUACUCAAGCGACGGUAGCCGCUAUGAAGGAUGGCAUGAAGUCGAUGAAGAAAGAGUUCAAGAAGAUUAACAUCGAGGAGAUCGAAGACAUACAGGACGAUAUGGCGGACAUGCUGGAGCAGGCGGACGAAGUGCAGGAAGCGAUGGGCCGAACGUACGGCAUGCCGGAGCUGGAUGAUGACGAGCUGCAAGCUGAGCUGGAUGCGCUCGGUGAUGAGAUCGCGCUCGAUGACGAUGCCAGCUAUCUGGACGAUGUAGUGAAAGCUCCAGAAGCCCCCGACAAGGAACCGGGAGCGGACAGUGUCACUAACAAGGAUGGAAUACUGGUUGACGAGUUCGGACUGCCAAAGAUUCCUGCAUCCGUCAAAACAUCCUAAGCUUUUUGGCCUUACCAAGCUGCCUUUGGCACGUGAUGCUUCCAUAUAAAAGAUUCGUCUGUAUAUGGGCAUCAGCAAGAAAUUUAUCUUUAAUUUACAAUUACACAAUACAGCAUCCCGCAAUCGGUCCUUGGCAGCAGGCGGCACCAGUUAAUCAACAACCAGAUGGCGAAGGCUUACUUCUUCCUCUGAAUACUUUGAAAUAAGGGACUGUUGCGAUCGGAUUUGAUCGUUGGACACUUUUAACAGCUCCUCUAGAUGACCAUUUUUGACCAGUUCACGAUUUAAUUCACGCUCCAACUCAUUCAAACGAUCCUUCAUACGCCUGUACUCUUCCUUGAUCAUCAAUAUCGCGAAGUAACCGCUUGAUGUGCUUAUUCUUCAUACUGAUAUUGUUAUAAAGCUCCUGCUGCCUUUCGAUCUCCGACAAAGCAUCGGGCGAAUCUUCACCCUCACUGCCACCGCCGACAUGGAGUCCUUCGGCAAGCUUUGCCUGCAGCUUGGUGUUCUCUUCCGUCACGUCCUUCAGCUUCGUUCGAAGGGUGUGGCGUUCCAGCUCCAGCUUUUCGAUGGUUCUUUUCCAUUCCUUCAGCCGCUCCUGACUUCCGAAAUCAUCUUUACCUUCCACUAGCGUCUGUUUUAACUGUCUCACCUAAAAGAUAAAAACGCAAUAAAAAUGUUACUGUAACAGAAA